ensembl:lncRNA
CACAGCUCCUGGGGAGAACAAGAGCUGUCCUGGAUCAGCUUUUUUAUGACUGGCAGUGGAUUUGGGGAGUUGUAUCUACCUCAGCAUUGUGCACAUUGGCCUGCACACAUACAGCAGGAGAAGACAAAAGGUCUAGCACAGAGCUUAUCAGCACAUGGCAGGCAUUUUAAGCCAUCUUGCAAAGGAAAAAAAAACCAUGUUGUGCAUGUAAGAGAAGGAAAUCCCUAAUUGGAAACACAAUUGUCUCGUAAGAAGGGCUCCAAAAUCAACAGCCACUCCAAUUUAUAUGGUGUUUUAUCAAGCCAAAUAGCCCCCAAGGGCUUUGCAAGACGAGUCUCUAAUAAGGCUUAUAAAACCAGCCCUCUAUAACAGAGGCUGGGGCAGGGAGGGGGAGUAAAAGGCCUUUUAGCAUGUGAAUUGUGACAGCAAUGUCUGCCUGUCAAAGCUCCAGCUAGGAAAGACUCCAGAAGCUCCGGGGGGAUCUGCAGGAGUUUCAAUCACAGAGGUUCAUGGAGAGCAGGAGAGGAGAGAGCCUGAAGGAAAACCAGAGGGGACUCUUUUAUUCCAGCCUUUAUGGUGUGUCUGGAAGGCAAUACUGCAGCAAUGAGUGUGUGACAAGAAACAUGAAGAGGACGGGGAGUGUGACUGUAAAACGUGCUUUAACAUCCCCUGCAGGAGCACAUCCUCUGAGCACCACCCCUCCAUCACCACUGUCCUGCCCAAGCCAUGAUACACGAGCCAGGGAAAGCAGAACCAGCCAGCACAGGUCACACUUCACUGCACAGUUUUGCAAACCACGCUGAGAAACCCUCAGAGGAAAGAACCAACUAGUUUCAAGUCUAUUUUGAGUUGCACAGUGGGGUUGUAAAUACCUUGUUUCUGGCACUUCUACAGUGGUUAAAAAAUAUAUCAAGCGGUCAUGGAAAACCCAAGACAUAAAUUUGUUGCAGAAAGAAACGUCUCUUUUCUUCUGCAACAAAGACAACAAGUGCUUUAAUUUGGUCUCCAUUUUCUGGCUGAUGCUGUUCUGUGAACAGGUCUGUAAUGGCAGAGCUGUGCCUGUGAAGAUGAUUCCAGAAGGGUGUGCCCUGCCCUGCUGGGAAGGUGCAAGGCUGCACAUAGCCUGGUUUUAACCAGCACACAUCCACCAGUCAGCUGGCAGAUCAGGGCUCUGACAAGUUUCAAUGCCUUUAUGAUCAUUUUGCUGAAAUCUGGGGGGAAAAGAUCUGUUUUACCAUUUUCUUAGACUUAUAAAUAACUGAUAUGUGAAAAUCACAGUGAUUCCAAGACUACAAAGCCUGCCCAUCCACAGGGAAAAUGUGUCAUUUAGGAGUCACACAUCAGAACCUUGAGUGCAUCAAAGACCUUCCAAUUUUCCCACACAGGAACCUUUAGGAUUCCUCCACAGCUCCAAGUUCCACACCUUGGCACAAACCUGUGACCCUGCAUCACAUCCCUGCCCUCCUUUCCCCAAGCCACCUCAGCCCAGCCCCAGGAAAGGGAUGAGUUCUGCAGGCCAUGGCAAACACCCCAGUCCUGGCACAGCAGUGACCUGGCACCCCCUCCCCUCCCUGCAGGACUGGCAAGGGACAAGCUGGCUGUCGCCCCAAG